rnacentral:rRNA from 1 species
CCCUUAGAUGUCCUGGGCUGCACGCGCGCUACACUGACGUGUCCAGUAAGCACCUAACCUAUUCCGAGAGGAGCGGGUAACCUUAGCAAAGCACAUCGUGAUGGGGAUAGAUUAUUGCAAUUAUUAGUCUUGAACGAGGAAUUCCUAGUAAGCACAAGUCAUCAGCUUGUGUUGAUUACGUCCCUGCCCUUUGUACACACCGCCCGUCGCUCCUACCGAUUGAAUGUUCCGGUGAGCUCUUCGGACUGCGCGGUCUGCAGUUUCUGCGUUCCGUGCGGAAAGUUGUGCAAACCUUAACAUUUAGAGGAAGGAGAAGUCGUAACA